rnacentral:rRNA from 1 species
CUAAUACCGCAUAAGCCCACGACCCGGCAUCGGGUAGAGGGAAAAGGAGCAAUCCGCUUUGAGAUGGCCUCGCGUCCGAUUAGCUAGUUGGUGAGGUAACGGCCCACCAAGGCGACGAUCGGUAGCCGGACUGAGGGGUUGAACGGCCACAUUGGGACUGAGACACGGCCCAGACUCCUACGGGAGGCAGCAGUGGGGAAUAUUGCACAAUGGGGGAAACCCUGAUGCAGCGACGCCGCGUGGAGGAAGAAGGUCUUCGGAUUGUAAACUCCUGUUGUUGAGGGAGAUAAUGACGGUACUCAACAAGGAAGUGACGGCUAACUGCGUGCCAGCAGCCGCGGUAAAACGUAGGUCACAAGCGUUGUCCGGAAUUACUGGGUGUAAAGGGAGCGCAGGCGGGAAGACAAGUUGGAAGUGAAAUCCAUGGGCUCAACCCAUGAACUGCUUUCAAAACUGUUUUUCUUGAGUAGUGCAGAGGUAGGCGGAAUUCCCGGUGUAGCGGUGGAAUGCGUAGAUAUCGGGAGGAACACCAGUGGCGAAGGCGGCCUACUGGGCACCAACUGACGCUGAGGCUCGAAAGUGUGGGUAGCAAACAGGAUUAGAUACCCUGGUAGUCCACACUGUAAAC